AGGAGUCAGAUACCUCUCGGAUUUCAUCAAAAAUAUCUUAAUUUAUUUUCUGAAGAUGAACGAAGGUCUUACGGGUGUGGAACGACAUGAGGAGUUCAAGACUGUAUAUUAUGAUGAUGUCACCAACAGCAGUGGCCUGAAAGUGGAAGCACCAGAGAGUUAUGAUGAUAA